CGCGGGUGGAUUAGUGGCAAACGGGUGAGUAUCACGUGAGUAACCUGCCCUUGACUCUGGGAUAAGCCUGGGAAACUGGGUCUAAUACCGGAUAUGACCAGUCCUCGCAUGAGGUGCUGGUGGAAAGAUUUUAUCGGUCUUGGAUGGACUCACGGCCUAUCAGCUAGACGGUGAGGUAAUGGCUCACCGUGGCGAUGAUCGGUAGCCGGCCUGAAAGGUGACCGGCCCACUGGGACUGAACACGGCCCAACUCCUACGGGAGGCAGCAGUGGGGAUAUUGCACAAUGGGCGCAGCCUGAUCAGCGACGCGCGUGCGGGAUGACGGCCUUCGGGUUGUAAACCGCUUUCUCAGGGAAAAACUUUUGUGACGGUACCUGCUUAAGAUGCACCGGCUAAUACGUGCCCCAGCCCGGUAUACGUAGGGCGCGAGCGUUAUCCGGAGUAUUGGGCGUAAGAGCUUUAGGCGCUUGUCCGUCGCUGUGAAGCCCGGGGCUUACCCCGGUGUGCAUGGGUACGGGCAGCUAAGUGAUUAGGGGAACUGGAUUCCUGGUGUGCGGUGAAUGCUCGAUAUCGGAGGAACCCGAUGGCGAAGCGGUCUCUGGGCUGAACUGACCUCAGGACCAAAGCUGGGAGCGAACAGGAUUGAUACCUGGUAGUCAUGCCUAACGUUGGCACUAGUGUGGGGACAUUCCACGUUGUCCCGCCGUAUCUACGCAUUAAGUGCCCGCCUGGGAUACGCCGCAGGCUAAACUCAAGGAAU
rnacentral:rRNA from 1 species